rnacentral:pre_miRNA from 1 species
CCGAAAUCUGCGCCGGAAUCAAGCGGCAUCCAACAUUUGUCACAGCCGUGCACACCGCCACGGACCCCAAUCUCCUCAACGGAGGGUUGUCCGCAGUAGCUCGUGGCAUGAGCUACUGCUGUAAACGCACAGUUGAAGAGAUUGGGGUCCGUGGCGGUGUGCACGGCUGUGACAAAUGUUGGAUGCCGCUUGAUUCCGGCGCAGAUUUCGG